GACGAACGCUGGCGGCGUGCUUAACACAUGCAAGUCGAACGGAGCGAAUGAAAGCUUGCUUUUAUGAGCUUAGUGGCAAACGGGUGAGUAACACGUAGACAACCUGCCGACAGGAUGGGGACAACAUUCCGAAAGGAAUGCUAAUACCGAAUGAAGUCGAGGGAAGGCAUCUUCCUUCGAUGAAAGAUGGCCUCUAUUUAUAAGCUAUCACCUGUCGAUGGGUCUGCGUCUGAUUAGCUAGUUGGUGAGGUAACGGCUCACCAAGGCGACGAUCAGUAGCCGGUCUGAGAGGAUGAACGGCCACAUUGGGACUGAGACACGGCCCAGACUCCUACGGGAGGCAGCAGUGGGGAAUCUUCCGCAAUGGGCGCAAGCCUGACGGAGCAACGCCGCGUGAGUGAAGAAGGUCUUCGGAUCGUAAAGCUCUGUUGAUGGGGACGAAUGUGCGUGAUGCGAAAC
rnacentral:rRNA from 1 species